GGAAGCGGCUGGAGGAAGGGAGAAAGCAAAGGCUAGAAUCUCAGGAGUGGGAACGCUGGGUUGUAAGCCCGUGAGCCACAACUACUGAGCCUGCGCGCCACAACUAUUGAAGCCUGUGAGCCCUAGAGCCCGUGCGCCGCAACAACUGAAGGCCGCGCACUCUAGGGCCCGCGUGCCGCAAUUACUGAGCCCGUGUGCUGCAACUACUGAAGCCCACACGCCUAGGGCCUGUGCUCUGCAACAAGAGAAGCCACCGCAAUGAGAAGCCCAUGCACCGCAACGAAGAGUAGCCCCCGCUCACCGCAACUAGAGAAAGCCUGCUCACGGCAACGAAGACCCAACGCAGCCAAAAUAAAUAAAUAAAAUAAAUAAAUAAUAAAAUAAAAUAAAAUGGAUAACCAACAAGGACCUACUGUACAGCACAGGGAAC